rnacentral:snRNA from 1 species
AUAAUCACCAAAGUGGUUUUCCCUGGUUGAGCCUUGUCCAUUGCAUUCCAGAUGUGCUGACCCCUGUGAUUUCCCCAAAUGCAGGACACUCAACUGCAUAGCUUUUGGUAGUGGGGGGGGCUGCAUUUGUGCUUUUCCCUG